AUGUUAUCAAGAAAGGUGGAGGGAUAGACCCGCUGAAGCCUUAGCAACCCUUAGUUCUAUACUAUGAAGGUGCUAAAUUCUACUUAAUUUUCGAUUCAUUAAUCGAAAUAUUGGAUAGAUAACUC
rnacentral:ncRNA from 2 species